UUUUUUGGCAACCAUCAUAUGCACACAAUAAUAAUCAUAAUCUUGUAUUAAUGAAAUAUCAAUAAAAAUUUCUUCAAAUUCUAGUGUGAUUAAGAGUCAUAAAUGCGUAGUCAUUAGGAAGAAUUGUUAGCAAGUAAUAUAGAUCAUGACACUUUACAACAGAUUGUGAUUGAGUAAUUUUAAUGCAUCUUGUAACCAUUUCUUUAAAACAUUUCAACUUUCAAUGUAACACAUUUCCUAUUCUGCACAUAAACGAUUAUAAAUUAAUCCACCUAAUCAAUAGAGAAAACAAUGCUAAUUUUCAAGGUACUGAAGGACUGAUUUUCCUUCACAAACACCAUGUCAGAUAAUGAAUGGUUUUUUAUAAAAUAAGAAAAAAAGAGACAGUAAUUCAAAAAAUUCAAAGAAUUCGAAAUUAUAAUAGUGUUAGUUUUAAAAUUAUAUAUAUAUAUAUAUAUAUACACACACAUAAAAAUAUGUGUACUCAUAUAUACAUGAAUAAAAUGAAGAAUUACAAUAAGAUUUGGAUUAGACGUUUAUGUUCAACAUUUAAGAAACAUUAUUCUCUUUUCUUUCCUUUCCUUUUAUAUUUAUUUAAAAUUGGUUCUUAGUAUCAAUAUUAAGCUUCUCUUGAUUUUAAAAUUUAUACGUUAUGAAAGUAAGAAAUACUGCAGCUCAUUGUUAUUAUUAUUAUUAUUAUUAUUAAUAUUAUCAACCUUUUUAUAUUUCAUCUGUUGAUUACACUUAAUUAAAUUUAUUGAUUUUUUCUUUUUCUUUCUUUUAGCAUAUUUUUUCAUAUAACUUAACACCUUACACCCAAGAAAUACAAAUGGGAAAUCAUUAGACAUAUCAGCGUACAAAAGUCAAAACUCAUCUAAACAUGAAAUAAUAAAAUUAAAUAUAAUUAUUAUGAAUGUUCCAAUUAACGUGAAGUAUGGAACUAAAUGAUUGACAUCAUCUCUAAAACCUAGAAUAUUUUUAAUGAGUUUUUAAAACUAAAAUAUUUAGAAAUCAUACCCCAUUUCAUCUUGGUUUUCAUUUUUUUUUAAGAGAUGUUUCACACAAACAAUUAAAUACAAGAAAAAAAAAGGUGUCACAUCUCGAAUUCAGAACUUUGUCAGUUUCAUCAUAAUCACUUUGAAUAACUGAUUUCGAUUAUUUUAAAAUAAUUUAACAAGAUGGGGAGGUCAUGAAAACAAAAUAAC
rnacentral:lncRNA from 1 species